GGUAGCAUUUUAGUUAUUCACGGUAACACAAGAAACGAGAGCUCCUUAUGGAAGGCCGAGAAACCGAGACGAGAUAAUUGCUGUCGCAGAGUAAUUAACUUUGGCAACGGUAGAUUCAAUACCUGCCACGUCAGUAGGUGUACGGGUACGAUCGAAAUUGUGUUUGUGAAGCAAUGGCUCUGUCAUAAAGUUGCACUGCGAUCUACUGUCGAGAAAUAUUCGCGCUAGACAACUUGUUUCGUUCCGAUUUUCAAAGUUGACUAAAGCUGUCCAUAAGAAAAUUGUUUUGUUGUGAGAUUCCACUUGUGUCGUUACCGCAUCAGGUGGGUUCGAGAUACACGUGAUGGCAAAUGGAGCAGAGUGUGUUGUGUUUGCGAUUGCGCUUUCGACAGGUUCCUGACAGACGAUUAUUUUUGCGAUUAUGUGUUGUUGUGUUCAAGCAAUUUCAACCCAGACUAUGUGUUUUUACGAGAUUUAAACGUUGAUGAGGCGAUAGUUUGAUGAGUUUGUUACAGCUUCCGAGAAAAUGGGCUUGAUAACAGCACUGACAGGUGUGAUGGGACUGUAGGGACCUAAUACUAAGAUAUCAAAAUAUGGCACCUACCUGAACGGGAGAGAUCUUGGCUGGCGAUGAGAGAGGCAACAGUGAGGGAUAGAUAUAGAAGGGAUUACGAGAAGAAACGUUGCACGCAAAGGUUGUGAAUUAAAUAAUGGUGAAAUAAAAGAGUGUAUCACGGAGUAAAAAUUAA